CUACGAGGGGUGCAAGCGUUAAUCGGAAUUACUGGGCGUAAAGCGUUCGUAGGCGGUUUGUUAAGCAAGAUGUGAAAGCCCUGGGCUCAACCUGGGAACUGCAUUUUGAACUGGCAAGCUAGAAUACUGUAGAGGGUGGUGGAAUUUCCUGUGUAGCGGUGAAAUGCGUAGAGAUUGGAAGGAACAUCAGUGGCGAAGGCGGCCACCUGGACAGAUAUUGACGCUGAGGAACGAAAGCGUGGGGAGCGAACAGGAUUAGAUACCCUAGUAGUCC
rnacentral:rRNA from 1 species